rnacentral:tmRNA from 1 species
GGGCUAGUACUGGUUUCGACAGGGACUUGGAAUCUGGUGAAGCUAUUCGUAGGUGAUGCGUCAAAUCACAAACUUAAAAUUAAACGCUGAAGAUAAUUUAGCUUACGCUGCCUAGUUGCAGCUGUCACGAAUAAGUCUCCUACAGCUUAUUCGCUGGCAUCGACUUUCGUAGGGAACUCUAUAUACAAAGCUUUGCGUAUGUAGAAGCAAUAUGAAGCUACCAAGGGAUAAAGGAUGUUCGUUUCCGUUAUUCUGAGGGAAAGUAAAAGAACGGACUAUGAUAGUAGAAGAACAGUGGAAGAGUUUUUGGACAUGGGUUCGACUCCCAUCUAGUCCACUC